GAGUAACACGUGGGUAACCUGCCAAGAGAUCGGGAUAACACCUGGAAACAGAUGCUAAUACCGGAUAACAACAGAUGAUGUCCUAUCAACUGUUUAAAAGAUGGUUCUGCUAUCACUCUUGGGAUGGACCUGCGGUGCAUUAGCUAGUUGGUAGGGGUAACGGGCCUACCAAGGCGAUGAUGCAUAGCCGAGUUGAGAGACUGAUCGGCCACAUUGGGACUGAGACACGGCCCAAACUCCUACGGGAGGCAGCAGUAGGGAAUCUUCCACAAUGGACGCAAGUCUGAUGGAGCAACGCCGCGUGAGUGAAGAAGGGCUUCGGCUCGUAAAGCUCUGUUGUUGGUGAAGAAGGACAGGGGGUAGUAACUGACCUUUGUUUGACGGUAAUCAAUUAGAAAGUCACGGCUAACUACGUGCCAGCAGCCGCGGUAAAU
rnacentral:rRNA from 1 species